UUUAUGAUCGACAUAAGAAUAAAGCCUUUCAGGACGUCCACUGCAGGAUACAGGCCUCCCCCAAAGAUUUCCAAAACGACCGAUCACCAGCGGCCUGACUCCAGCGGCUCCCCGCCACUUUGAUCAGGUCGUCUGUCCACCUCGUUGAAGGCCGUCCCACACUGCGACGUCCUGUCGUCUUACGUGGUCAUCUUAAGGGAGCACCAUACAUACGACAGAGACUGCAAGAAUAAAAAUUUAUAGAAGAUUAAGGUAUCCUGUGACAACUCAAGGGCGAGGGAAGCUGGUAUUGCAUAAAGAAGGCGAAAUUAAACACGUACCUAGUUAUUAAUUAUGUAGUAAUAAGUAAAUUUUUAAGUAACUGUUAUUUUAAUUAGGUUGUGUUUGUUAUGAAUUCUGAAUUAUUUUGCACUUUUGUAUAAAAGUAUUAUAAUAAAUGGAUAUCUCAAGAA